rnacentral:rRNA from 1 species
AUUGAACGCUGGCGGCAGGCCUAACACAUGCAAGUCGAGCGGGGUUUUCGGACCUAGCGGCGGACGGGUGAGUAAUGCGUAGGAAGCUACCCGAUAGAGGGGGAUACCAGUUGGAGACGACUGUUAAUACCGCAUAAUGUCUACGGACCAAAGUGUGGGACCUUCGGGCCACAUGCUAUCGGAUGCGCCUACGUGGGAUUAGCUAGUUGGUGGGGUAAUGGCUCACCAAGGCGACGAUCCCUAGCUGGUUUGAGAGGAUGAUCAGCCACACUGGAACUGAGACACGGUCCAGACUCCUACGGGAGGCAGCAGUGGGGAAUAUCGGACAAUGGGCGCAAGCCUGAUCCAGCCAUGCCGCGUGUGUGAAGAAGGCCUUCGGGUUGUAAAGCACUUUCAGUAGGGAGGAAGGGUGUUGUGUUAAUAGCACAGCAUUUUGACGUUACCUACAGAAGAAGCACCGGCUAACUCUGUGCCAGCCGCCGCCGUAAAAC